ACAUGCAAGUCGAACGAAGUAGCAAUACUUAGUGGCAGACGGGUGAGUAACAUGUAGGUAUCUUCCCUUUGGUGAGGAAUAACACGAGGAAACUUGUGCUAAUACCUCAUAAGUCUUUACGGAGAAAGCUUUAUGCGCCGAAGGAUGAGCCUGCACUUGAUUAGUUUGUUGGUGGGGUAAUGGCCUACCAAGACUUUGAUCUAUAGCUGAUCUGAGAGGAUGAUCAGCCACAUUGGGACUGAGACACGGCCCAAACUCCUACGGGAGGCAGCAGUAGGGAAUAUUGCACAAUGGAGGAAACUCUGAUGCAGCGAUGCCGCGUGAGUGAAGAAGGCCUUUGGGUUGUAAAGCUCUUUCGUCGGGGAAGAAAAUGACUGUACCCGAAUAAGAAGGUCCGGCUAACUUCGUGCCAGCAGCCGCGGUAAUACGAAGGGACCUAGCGUAGUUCGGAAUUACUGGGCUUAAAGAGUUCGUAGGUGGUUAAAAAAGUUGGUGGUGAAAUCCCAGAGCUUAACUCUGGAACUGCCAUCAAAACUUUUUAGCUAGAGUAUGAUAGAGGAAAGCAGAAUUUCUAGUGUAGAGGUGAAAUUCGUAGAUAUUAGAAAGAAUACCAAUUGCGAAGGCAGCUUUCUGGAUCAUUACUGACGCUGAGGAACGAAAGCAUGGGUAGCGAAGAGGAUUAGAUACCCUCGUAGUCCAUGCCGUAAACGAUGUGUGUUAGACGUUGGAAAUUUAUUUUCAGUGUCGCAGCGAAAGCGUUAAACACACCGCCUGGGGAGUACGACCGC
rnacentral:rRNA from 1 species